UUACGACCGUAUCACGUUGAAACAUUGGUUCUCGUACGAUCACCGAAGUUAAACAACGUUGAGCCUGUCUAGAACCUAGAUGGGUGACCGCUUUGGAAUACCAGAG